rnacentral:sRNA from 1 species
GCCAUCAGAUACUCUGAACAGAGAUCCUUGAUCCAGGCAUCCAUCUCCUUCCAGCAGUGGCAUGUACUGACUUCUUGUUUCCCCAGCCUGAACUGACAUCAACUCCCAAUUUCGUGGUUGAAGUUAUAAAGAAUGAUGGCAAGAAGGCCCUUGUGUUGGACUGUCAUUAUCCAGAGGAUGAGGUUGGACAAGAAGAUGAGGCUGAGAGUGACAUCUUCUCUAUCAGGGAAGUUAGCUUUCAGUCCACUGGCGAAUCUGAAUGGAAGGAUACUAAUUAUACACUCAACACGGAUUCCUUGGACUGGGCCUUAUAUGACCACCUAAUGG